rnacentral:rRNA from 1 species
AUACGGAGGAUCCGAGCGUCAUCCGGAUUUAUUGGGUUUAAAGGGUGCGCAGGCGGCCAUUUAAGUCAGCGGUUAAAUCGUGGGGCUCAACCCCAUUCUGCCGUUGAUACUGGGUGGCUUGAUUGCGGUCGAGGUUGGCGGAAUUCGUUGUGUAGCGGUGAAAUGCAUAGAUAUGACGAAGAACACCGAUUGCGUAGGCAGCUGACCAGACCGCAAAUGACGCUCAUGCACGAAAGUGCGGGGAUCGAACAGGAUUAGAUACCCUGGUAGUCCGCACAGUAAACGAUGAAUACUUGUUUUCGGCGAUAUAAUGUCGGAGGCAAAGCGAAAGCGAUAAGUAUUCCACCUGGGGAGUACGCCGGCAACGGUGAAACUCAAAUGAAUUGACGGGG